UUUUUUUUUUUUUUUUUUUUUUGUCUUUUUGCUAUUUCUUGGGCCGCUCCCAUGGCAUAUAGAGGUUACCAGGCUAGGGGUUGAAUUGGAGCUGUAGCCACUGGCCUACGCCAAAGCCACAGCAACGCGGGAUCCGAGCCGUGUCUGCAACCUACACCACAGCUCAUGGCAACGCCGGAUCGUUAACCCACUGAGCAAGGGCAGGGAUCGAACCCGCCACCUCAUGGUUCCUAGUCGGAUUCGUUAACCACUGCGCCACGACGGGAACUCCCCCUAUGGAUACUUAAGGCCAGUCUUUUGGAUUCUUAGAAUUCGUCACUGUGUUAAUAAAUCAUUUUUUGGAUUUAGUAGAAUCCCGAGAUGGUUUCAUAUCCUUCUUUCUAGUAGGAUCACAUCAUUGUAGAUAUUAAAAUAAUACUUGUCAGAAUUAUACAAAUUAUGGAUUUGUCUGAUCAUUCUACAGUCAUUCCAGUGACUCCGAGUGCUUUACAGAAAGGCUCACAGUUAGCAGGCUCUGCCCAGGUAUGAACUUCAGUUUUCAGUACCCCCCCACCUUUUUUUUGCCUGUGUCUGCAGCAUAUAGAAAUUCCUGGGCCAGGGAUCAAACCUGCACCACAGCAGCAAUCCAAGCUGCUGCAGUGACAAUGCCAGAUCCUUAAUGAGCUGCCCCACAAGGGAAUUCUUAAAUAUAGGCAAACAGCCAAAUACCAUCAGACAUUUGAGACAAACCUCUAACAAAAAAGGCAGAGGACGAGAACCAUUUAAAAAAAAAAACAAAAAACAAAAAAACUUGGAAAAAAUUGAGACUCUGCAGGGAGGAGAAGAAAAAAAUAAUUAAUAUUCUUUUAUUAAUAUUGUACUCAAAGAGAUACAAGAAAAAAUUAUAUCCAAGAAACAAACAAAAGGAUGCUGCUUAUAUUUUUUAAAAAUUAAAGAAGCAUUCAAAGACCUAGAGCAGAAGACAAAUUAUAGAAAUCUUGUAGAAAGAAUAAAAAGACAAUGAAUGAUGGAAGAGAAAAAAAAAAGAGGUUCAGUAUGCAACAACUGGAUGCUACAGAAUACAGAAAACAGAUCAGAAGUGGACAUCUGUAUAGUACCUAACAAAGUAUUAGUUCUCUAGAUCAGUGGUUCUCAAAGUGUGGUUCACAACUCAUGGGGCUUCCCAAGACCCUUUCAAGAAGACUAGGAGGACAAAACUCUUUUAAUAGAAAUAUUAACCUGUUAUUUGCUUUUUCUACUCUCAUUCAUUCAUAGAGUUUUCCAGAAGCUUCACGAUGUGUGAUGUCAUCACUCUAACAGCUUAUAUAUUCUUGUGAUUUAAAUUUUUUCAGUUUUAAUUUCUAAUAUGGAUAAUAAACAGUUAUAAGCCACACAAAUAAAACAUUUUUAGGAUCCUCAAUAAUCUUCAAGAGCUUGAAAAUCACUACUCCAGGUAAUGACUUAACCCUAAAUAUGGCUAGGCAUUACACUUUAGUUUGAAAAUGCUAGGAAGCACCCCAGAUAUGUAACAUACAUUGCCAUUCCCUUCUCUUCCAUUUGAGUCUCAAACCAAAAAUUCAACUCAUACAAAAAUAUAAAAAGAUUUACUUAUUCUGUAAUGGAGGUAGAUAAGGGAGUUCAUAUUGAUCAGUAUUUCAUUUGAAAAAUCCUCCCAGCCCUGUCUCUUCUACAUUUCCUUCCUCUUUACCUCCCCCAUGCUGUCUUUAUCUUUCUUUAACUCUCUCCCCUCUCCUGCCUUUCUGGGAUGUUUAAGCAUAUCCAAGAUUGGGGGGAGAAAAAACCAACACAUCACUGAUAUCUCUCAUUAGAAGACAGAACAACAAAACUGCAAUAAGUUCAUACAUACUGAUAAUUACCUUGAAUGUAAAUGGAUUAAAUGCUGCAAUCCAAAAACAGAGAGUAGCUGAAUGGAUACACAAACAAGACCAGUAUAUAUGCUGUCUAUAAGAGACCCACUGUGGACACAUACAGACUGAAAAGUGAGGGGACACACAGAGACUGAAAGUGAGGGGAUGGAAGAAGGUAUUGCAUGCAAAUGGAAAUCAAAAGAAAGCUGAAGGAGCAAUACUCCUUCAGACAAAAUAGGCCUUAAAAAAAAAAAAAGUUACAAAAGACAAAGAAGGACACUAUCUAAUGAUCAAGGGAUCAAUCUAAGAUGAAGAUGUAACAAUUGCAAAUAUAUAUGCACCCAACAUAGGAGAACCUCAACAUAUAAGGCAACUGCUAACAGCCUCAAAAGGAGAAAUUGACAAUAAUACAAUAAUAGUGGGGAACUUUAACACCCCACUUUCAGCAAUGAACAGAUCAUCCAGACAGAAAUAUCAAUAAAGAAACACAUGGAGCCCCCAUUGUGGCUCAGCAGUUAACGAAUCUGACUAACAUCCAUGAGGAUGUGGGUUCAAUCCCUGGGCUUGCUCAGUGGGUUGGGGAUCUGGCGUUGCCAUUGGCUGUGGUGUGGGCCACAGACACAGCUCAGAUCCUGCACUGCUGUGGCUGUGGCACAGGCUGGCAGCUAUGACUCUAAUUUGAUCCCUAGCCUGGGAACCUUCAUAUGCCAUGGGCACGGCCGUAAAAAUAAAGGAAAAAGAAAACAUGUCUUAUAUGACACAUUAGACUAGACAGACUUAUUUGAUAUUUAUAUAACAUUUCAUCUGAAGGCAACAGAAUACACUUUCUUCUCAAGUGCACAUGGAACAUUCUCCAGGAUAGACCACAUCCUAGGCAACAAAUCAAGCCUCAGUAAAUUUAAGAAAAUUGAAAUCAUGUCAAUAAUUUUUUCUGACCAUAAUGCUAUGAGAUUAGAAAUCAACCACAAGAAAAAAACUGCAAAAAAAAAAAAAAAAA
rnacentral:lncRNA from 1 species